GUGAAAAACAAAGAUGCCUUACUAAGUAAUGAGUAUGAGGUAACAUAUGGCCCCUGCUUAAUUUUAGAACAUCUAGCAGUGUGCCUGAAGAUGUCACCCUCGUUGUAUAUGAAAAGACGGGGAAGAGUCUUCUUCCAGCUUGGAUAUCGAUCAGGCCAUUUUACGCCUAGUUAAUAAAGAACAAGAUGAUGCUGAAAUAUUUGCCCAAUCGCUUGUGCAGACAUUUAGACGGUUGCCAAAUAAAAAAUUUCAGCAUGCAAGGAUUGAACUUCAAGAAGUUUUGUUUCAUCUAGAAUUUAAUACAGAUUAGAUACAUGCUCAAAUAUAUACUGGUUUGUAGUA